ensembl:snRNA U6 U6 spliceosomal RNA
GUGCUCACUUUGCCAGCACAUAUACUAAAAUUGGAACACUACAGAGAUAGCAUGGCCCCCACGCAAGGAUGACACACAAAUUUGUGAAGUUUUCCAUAUUUUU